UUUAACUGAAGAGUUUGAUCAUGGCUCAGAUUGAACGCUGGCGGCAGGCUUAACACAUGCAAGUCGAGCGGGGGAAGGUAGCUUGCUACUGGACCUAGCGGCGGACGGGUGAGUAAUGCUUA
rnacentral:rRNA from 1 species